rnacentral:rRNA from 1 species
AACGAACGCUGGCGGGAUGCCUAAUACAUGCAAGUCGAACGAUCCCUUCGGGGAUAGUGGCGCACGGGUGCGUAACGCGUGGGAAUCUGCCCUUGGGUUCGGAAUAACAGUUGGAAACGACUGCUAAUACCGGAUGAUGACGAAAGUCUAAAGAUUUAUCGCCCAGGGAUGAGCCCGCGUAGGAUUAGCUAGUUGGUGAGGUAAAGGCUCACCAAGGCGACGAUCCUUAGCUGGUCUGAGAGGAUGAUCAGCCACACUGGGACUGAGACACGGCCCAGACUCCUACGGGAGGCAGCAGUAGGGAAUAUUGGACAAUGGGGGCAACCCUGAUCCAGCAAUGCCGCGUGAGUGAUGAAGGCCUUAGGGUUGUAAAGCUCUUUUACCCGGGAUGAUAAUGACAGUACCGGGAGAAUAAGCCCCGGCUAACUCCGUGCCAGCAGCCGCAGUAAAAC